rnacentral:lncRNA from 1 species
CUCAGCCUCACAACCCUGGCUUGCCUGUUGUCAUCAGAUUCUCUGAGCUUCUGGAACUAUCAUGCAUGCAGGUCUCUGCACCCCUGGUUUCUUCCCUUCUUCCUUGUUUUGUUCAAAGCACUGAAGCUUAAAAAAAAAAAAGCCAGAACUACGUCUUUCAACGUGAACCACGUCCUGCUCUCAUUAAUUCCACCCUUGGGGACUUAGCUGCCAGCCUGAAGGAAGCUGGUGACUAUACAAGUCAAAGGUCCCCCGGGCCUGUAACCAAGUCAUUGCUAAGGACUCUAUCAAGGACACUGAGAUGGAAAUGCCGGGAGAGCCAGCUGCAAAUCUUGGGCAGACCCUGGAGUGGCUGAGGGAGAAGCUGGCCGAGAUGCAGAUCCAAGACCAGCAGCUGCUGCUCACACUGAGGCAUCUGCACAGCCUCCUGGAGGAGCUUCGAGCUGAAAGCACCCACUGGGAGGACACAAGGCCCAGCAGAAGUACAUCACCUUUCCGAGAGAGGCUGGGAUCAGAGGGAAGAGCCUGCCAGCCUGUGCCGAGGCAACUGACCCAGCUGCUCCAAGGGGAAAAGAGCAGGCGAAGCUCCCUUCCUUAACCAGCUAGAGGGUGCUCAUAGAAACCCUCCUACCACUAGUAUAAACCAUGUGUCAGCUGUGUGUCCUUGAAUCUGUCAUUUAACUGUCUAUGUCACUUGCCAGAGGGUAUGUGUGUGUGUGUGUGUGUGUGUGUGUGAGAGAGAGAGAGAGAGAGAGAGAGAGAGAGAGAAAUUAUUGGAGGCAUACAUGCUUUAUAAGUACAACUCUGUUACAUAGCUUCCAGCAAGUUGUCACCAUGGGUGAUAACCCUAGCUCUAGUAAUUUUUCACGGGGCAGUUGUUAAAGAUAGAGUAUGAUGUACAAAGAGGGUUACCUACUGUUGCCUUGGCGAAAAAUCAGAACAUCUGUAAUGACUUCCUAUUUUCUGUGUUCCUGUUAGGCCUUUCUUGUCCGCCUUAAUCUGAUAGCAAAAGGUUGCACCACAGAUCACAGAGAGGAGCAUGUCAGAUAUGUAAUUCAUGUUGGCUCGAACAUCAUAAUUCAUCAUUGGCUUAAUUCAUGGGCAUGUGACUCAACAAAGCCAACCACAGUCCUUCCUUGGGGUUGCUGUCUGGAUACUGCCAACCACACUUCCACAGUUAGUUUGAUUUCUUUUAGGCUGUGCUGAUCUUUGCCAGUAAGCAGUGUAGGAUUAGCCUCCAGAGCAAGAGGUGAAAAGAGAGACCAAUUCCUUUGUCCCCUGCAGUAUCUUAGAGGUCUCUUGCAACCCUUGGUGUCACCCACCAAAGAUGCUUCACCUCAGCACGUGGCACCAGCCCUGUCCAAGUCCAAGGCCCAGCCUGGAGGCCCCCUCUAUGCUCAGAACCCCCUUCUCAGAUGACUGCAGGCCAGCUCUACGGAGCUCCCGUCUGUGUGGUUUAAAUUGUAAUCCUUCGGCUUCAUUGUUCCCUAGCACUGGGUAGAUUCUUUCUGUAAUUGUUAGCUUGGAGUUCUUUUUAUAAUUUCUCAUCUACUCAGUUAACUUUAUUUUAUUUUAUUUUUUUUUGUUUUUUCUUUUUUUUUAAAGAGGAAGUGUUGGAAACAAGCAGAAGAAACUUAUUCUAGGUACUACCAUUUUGUUUUCAGACUCCAUUUAAUCAUAGCAAGAAACUAAAUUCAAGGUCCUAGUCUCUAGGGGAACUGAGGACUUCACCAUAGCUGAACAGCUUCUAUUAUAAGGAAACAAUUGUCUAAGUCCAGACAUCUCAGGGACAACUUGUAAGUGAAGUGUUGUCUGAGUCCAGACAUGUCAAGGACAACUUCUCCAUCUUGCUGGCAGGGUCAAUCUGAGUUCCUGUUCCCAGGCCCUGGAACCAACUCCUAUCCUGACUGAUGAAAACUCUUUUGCUCCAACCUCUUAUGUCAAACUAUGAUUGGACAGUGCUCCAGCCAGCCUACCUCUUCCCCUUGCUUUGUGGUCUCAUCCUUUAAAUAUGCUGUGCAAUUUCUCUUCAGGGGUGCAGUUCAGCUCCCGAGUCUGGUCUGUGGCAUUGAUUGAUCAGUAGUGGCUUGAUUACAAUAAAUUUUUGUCAUCUGCAUUGA